rnacentral:misc_RNA from 1 species
GAUGAAGAACGCAGCGAAAUGCGAUAAGUAAUGUGAAUUGCAGAAUUCAGUGAAUCAUCGAAUCUUUGAACGCAUCUUGCGCUCCUUGGUAUUCCGAGGAGCAUGCCUGUUUGAGUGUCAUUUAACUUCUCAACCACAUUGGAUAUUUUUUUUCCGAUGCCGGCUUGGAUGUGGGGGUUGUUUGCAGGCUUUUUGUAACAAAAAAGGUCGGCUCCCCUGAAAUGUAUUAGUGGUAUCUGAGGCUAUUACUAUUAGGUGUGAUAAUUAUCUAUGCCUUUUGGGUAUGCCGCAUGAACAGAUUAUGCUGCUUCUAACGAAAACUAUUUUGAUGAAUUUGACCUCAAAUCAGGUAGGACUACCCGCUGAACUUAAGCAUAUCAAUAAGCGGAGG